UACGGAAUGUGCAAACGUUAUUCGGAAUCACUGGGCUUAAAGAGUCCGUAGGCGGCAUGUUAGGUGAGGUGUGAAAUCCCACGGCCUAACCGUGGAAUUGCGCUUCAAACCGGCGUGCUUGAGGAAGAUAGAGGUGGGCGGAACUGAUGGUGGAGCGGUGAAAUGCGUCGAUAUCAUCAGGAACACCGGAGGCGAAGGCGGCCCACUGGGUCUUUUCUGACGCUGAGGGACGAAAGCUAGGGGAGCGAACGGG
rnacentral:rRNA from 1 species